rnacentral:rRNA from 1 species
GACAGAGGAUGCAAGCGUUGUCCGGAAUCAUUGGGAGUAAAGAGCGUGUAGGCGGCCCCUUAAGUCCUGCGUGAAAUCCUGCGGCUCAACCGCAGACGGUCGUGGGAAACUGGAGGGCUAGAGUGCGGGAGAGGAGAGUGGAAUUCCCGGUGUAGCGGUGAAAUGCGCAGAUAUCGGGAAGAACACCCGUGGCGAAGGCGGCUCUCUGGAACGCAACUGACGCUGAGACGCGAAAGCGUGGGGAGCAAACAGG